CCCCAGGUAGAGCGCCUUCACC
rnacentral:miRNA from 1 species